GGAGGGUGGCGCCCAGUGGUGGGCAACCGGUCUUGAAAACCGGGCCGGGGUAACACCCGAGGGUUCGACUCCUUCUCCCUCCUCCA
rnacentral:tRNA from 1 species